rnacentral:rRNA from 1 species
GACGAACGCUGGCGGCGUGCUUAACACAUGCAAGUCGAACGGAAAGGCCCUGCUUUUGUGGGGUGCUCGAGUGGCGAACGGGUGAGUAACACGUGAGUAACCUGCCCUUGACUUUGGGAUAACUUCAGGAAACUGGGGCUAAUACCGGAUAGGAGCUCCUGCUGCAAGGUGGGGGUUGGAAAGUUUCGGCGGUUGGGGAUGGACUCGCGGCUUAUCAGCUUGUUGGUGGGGUAGUGGCUUACCAAGGCUUUGACGGGUAGCCGGCCUGAGAGGGUGACCGGCCACAUUGGGACUGAGAUACGGCCCAGACUCCUACGGGAGGCAGCAGUGGGGAAUAUUGCACAAUAGGCGGAAGCCUGAUGCAGCAACGCCGCGUGCGGGAUGACGGCCUUCGGGUUGUAAACCGCUUUCGCCUGUGACGAAGCGUGAGUGACGGUAAUGGGUAAAGAAGCACCGGCUAACUACGUG